rnacentral:rRNA from 1 species
UACGUAGGGUGCGAGCGUUUGUCCGGAAUUAUUGGGCGUAAAGAGCUCGUAGGCGGUGUGUCGCGUCGGCCGUGAAAACCUGCAGCUUAACUGUGGGCUUGCGGGCGAUACGGGCAGACUGGAGUACUGCAGGGGAGACUGGAAUUCCUGGUGUAGCGGUGAAAUGCGCAGAUAUCAGGAGGAACACCGGUGGCGAAGGCGGUUCUCUGGGCAUGUCCUGACGUGAGGAGCGAAAGUGUGGGGAGCGAACAGG